ACCAAACCUAGCCCAAACACAUUAUAAUAAAAAUUCACUUAACACCUAAAUUAAAACAUUCACCAACAGUAAAAGUAUCAGAGACAGAAAUUAUAUCAUAGGAGCUAUAGAGAUAGUACCGUAAGGGAAAGAUGAAAGAAUUAUUAACAGUACAAGACAGCAAAGAUCAGCCCUUUUACCUUUUGCAUAAUGAGUCAACUAGAAUACAACUUGCAAAGAGAACUUAAGUAAGAUACCCCGAAUCCAGACGAUCUACCUAUAGACAGUCAAACAGGACUAACUCAUCUAUGUGGCAAAAUAGUGAAAUGAUCGAUAGGUAGCGGUGAAAAGCCAAUCGAGCCUGGUGAUAGCUGGUUGUCCAGGAGACGAAUAUAAGUUCAACUUAAAACUUACCCUAAAAGAACAAAUGACUAGUCUAAAUGUAAGUUUUAGAUAUAAUCAAUAGGGGUACAGCCCUAUUGAUACAGGAAAACCUUAAUUAGAGAGUUCCAACGAUAUACUUCCAUAGUAGGCUUAAAAGCAGCCAUCAAUAAAGAAAGCGUUCAAGCUCAACAAUAAGCUCUACAAAUACCACUAAAUACUAACAACUCCUAAUAUACUACUGGACCAAUCUAUCUUAAUAGAAGAGAUAAUGUUGAUAUGAGUAACAAGAAUACCUUUCUCCACGCACAAGUUUAUAUCAGACCGAAUAACUCACUGAUAGUUAACAACUAAACUAAGCUCACACACAAAAUAUUCUAUAGUUACACCAAUUGUUAGCCCAACACAGGAGUGCGUAAUGGAAAGAUUAAAAGAAACAAAAGGAACUCGGCAAACACAAACCCCGCCUGUUUACCAAAAACAUCACCUCUAGAAUUACAAUUAUUAGAGGCACUGCCUGCCCAGUGACAUGCGUUUAACGGCCGCGGUAUUCUGACCGUGCAAAGGUAGCAUAAUCAUUUGUUCCUUAAUUAGGGACUAGUAUGAAAGGCUUGACGAGGGUUUUACUGUCUCUUGUUUCCAAUCAGUGAAAUUGACCUUCCCGUGAAGAGGCGGGGAUAAUAAUAUAAGACGAGAAGACCCUGUGGAGCUUAAAUUACUAGCCCAACUAUAUCCAAUUAGCCCCUCAGGGCCAACAUAUAAUAAACUGGGCUAAAAAUUUCGGUUGGGGUGACCUCGGAGUAAAAGAAAUCCUCCGAAUGAUUUAUAACCAGACCUAACAAGUCAAGUUAGUAACUCAUCAUCAAUUGAUCCAAGAAAUUGAUCAACGGAACAAGUUACCCCAGGGAUAACAGCGCAAUCCUAUUUUAGAGUUCAUAUCGACAAUAGGGUUUACGACCUCGAUGUUGGAUCAGGACAUCCAAAUGGCGCAACAGCUAUUACUGGUUCGUUUGUUCAACGAUUAAAGUCCUACGUGAUCUGAGUUCAGACCGGAGCAAUCCAGGUCGGUUUCUAUCUAUAUGCUUACCUCUCCCAGUACGAAAGGACCAGAGAGACGGGGCCAACUUGAACCAAGAGCCUUAGGAUAAAAUAGAUGAAAUCAUCUAAACCUAGUUAACCAAGCAAAAAUCAGCCCGAUACAAGGGUUU
rnacentral:rRNA from 1 species